rnacentral:lncRNA from 1 species
CUCUUCUUUCCUUAUUUUUUCUUCUUUCUUGACUUCAAACUUAAAAUAGCUGUUUUAGGGCUUCUACUCAUUGCUCCUAGUAUUCCUUUCUGAGGCCAACCAGUAAAAGGCUAAUUCCCCUCCAGCAUGAGAUUCUUUGAAAUGUAUGAAGUCAGUAACCAUGCCCCUUCAGUUUUCCUGUAAUUUGUCUGGUGUAAUCAUUUAAAAUUACUUCUCCAAGUCAUAAUGUAACAGACCUAAGAUCCUUUACCAUCCUGUUUUCCUUUCUCUGGAGACUCUUUGAUUUGUAAAGGUUCUUUUUGAUAUGCAGUACUCCAAAAAAAACCCAUUAAACAACCAUUAGAUACUUUAUUAUUGACUGACAUCAGAUCCAGUAUAUAACAGCAGUAGCACAGUGUCAUUGAAAGAAUGCUGUAUUUGUCCUUAGAAAAAUAUGAGGUGGAAUCUAGGUUCUAACACAUACUACUUAUGUAAUUCACUAAAACUCUGUAAAAUUCUGUUGCUUCAUUUGUUCAGGAAAAAAAUAAAAAGGUGAGGUCAGGAUUUGCAUUUCAUUAGGAUCAUCAGAUAAUAUAUUUAGAGCUGAUAGGAACCUUUAAAAUCUAAAGCUAAAAUCUUUCUCUUUCAGAUGAGUCAAGAAAGAAACAAGGAGACUAAGAGAAUUGGCCAGGUUCACACAGCUAGAAAGUAUCUAAGAGUUGAAGAUUCAUGGAAGAAGAUAAAGAAAAUUGGAAAGAUCACCUGCAUGAAGAGGAUAUGGUAGAAUCUCCUUAUUGAGAAUCUUUGAACAAAGACUAGGGAAACAUUUUUCCCCCAUGUUAAAGCAAAGAUUCCUUUUGGAUAUAUUUGAUGGUUGACCUCUUUUCCAACUCUGAAAAUCUGUGAUUCUAUUAUUCUGUGUCUGAAAUAAUGUGUCAUAAACAAAACAAUCAUAGUAAUUUAUUCAGGACUAGAUCAGUCUGUCAAAUAACAUUUAUUAAACAUCUACUGGGUACCAGGCACUGGGCUAAGGACUAGGGAUACAAAAAAGAGGCAAAAGACAGGCUUUGCCCUAAAAGAGUAGAAGCCUAGAAUAAGGAGAAUAUUUUAUGACAUGACAUUAGACAAAUCACUUAAUCUCUCAAUGAUCAAAGAAAAUCUUUAAGACUGUAGUGAUGCUUGUUUAUUAUUUGUAUUAAUAUUAUAGUCUUAAAUUCUUAAAUUAGUGUAUUCUUCAAACUAACCCUUCACCACAUUAAGCAAAUUCAAAAGACAAAAAUAAAAACAAAACAAAAAUUUAAUAAAUGUUGUAU